AUACGUAGGGUGCAAGCGUUGUUCGGAAUCACUGGGCGUAAAGGGAGCGUAGGCGGGAUCGUAAGUUAGGAGUUUAAUGCAUGGGCUUAACCCAUGACUUGCUUUUAAUACUGCGGUUCUUGAGUAUGGGAGAGGGCGAUGGAAUUCCAGGUGUAGCGGUGGAAUGCGUAGAUAUCUGGAAGAACACCAGUAGCGAAGGCGGUCGCCUGGCCUAAUACUGACGCUGAGGCUCGAAAGCUAGGGGAGCAAACAGGAUUAGAUACCCUGGUAGUCCUAGCCGUAAACGAUGGACACUAGUUGCUGGAGGAGUCAAUCCUUUCAGUGACCAAGCUAACGCGAUAAGUGUCCCGCCUGGGAAGUACGGUCGCAAGACUGAA
rnacentral:rRNA from 1 species